UUGUGCCAGCAGCCGCGGUAAUACGUAGGGUGCAAGCGUUAAUCGGAAUUACUGGGCGUAAAGCGUGCGCAGGCGGUUCGCUAAGACAGAUGUGAAAUCCCCGGGCUUAACCUGGGAACUGCAUUUGUGACUGGCGGGCUAGAGUAUGGCAGAGGGGGGUAGAAUUCCACGUGUAGCAGUGAAAUUCGUAGAGAUGUGGAGGAAUACCGAUGGCGAAGGCAGCCCCCUGGGCCAAUACUGACGCUCAAGCACGAAAGCGUGGGGAGCAAACAGGAUUAGAUACCCUGGUAGUCCACGCCCUAAACGAUGUCAACUAGUUGUCGGGUCUUCAUUGACUUGGUAACGUAGCUAACGCGUGAAGUUGACCGCCUGGGGAGUACGGUCGCAAGAUUAAAACUCAAAUAAAUUGACGGGA
rnacentral:rRNA from 1 species